UACGUAGGGACCAAGCGUUGUUCGGAUUUACUGGGCGUAAAGGGUGCGUAGGCGGCUUUGUAAGUCAGUGGUGAAAUAUGGCAGCUCAACUGUCAAGGUGCCAUUGAUACUGCGGAGCUUGAGUACAGAUGAGGUAGGCGGAAUUGACGGUGUGGCGGUGAAAUGCUUAGAUAUCGUCAAGAACACCUAUAGCGAAGGCAGCUUACUAGGCUGUAACUGACGCUGAGGCACGAAAGUGUGGGGAUCAAACAGG
rnacentral:rRNA from 1 species